CAGGCAGAAGAUCAUGUAGGAAUUUCAAGUGAUAUUUUACAAUGGUUCACUACAGGAUAUUCUAAGCCUUGGUUUACAUAGCAUGCUCCUUUAUAUAGUAUUCUUUAUUCUUGGGAUCCCAGCGAGAGGAGAUAUUGUAUUGAUAUAGAUAAUAAUCUCUGCUUCCUUCCUAUGUGGCCAGGCAGGAAGAGAAUAAAUAAAAAUAAGAUCUAACUCAAAGGAGAAGUAGGAAAGAAAGUUUAGAAGAGUAAAGGCCAACAUAAAAAAGAAAUGUGAAGUAGUGGAUAUUUUGAGUAGGAUAAGCUUACACUAUGGAUCUCCUAAAAGAUCAAUACAAGUUGAAAACAUGUCUAAAUGUUUUAACUGAAUUACUAAUUUUAUGGCUUUUGCAAGGAGAUAUCUACACAUCUUACAAAAUAUCCAGGGGUCUUCUUGUAUUCAUUUAUCAUUUACUCUUAAUUAUAUAAUUAGUGGUUGCCUUAUUCAUUAUGCACUUGUGAGGCAUAUGCCAGAGACUGGGCAUUUAAAAGCUAUAAAAAAGCAGAGCUCCUGCAUAUGUGCUGCUUAACAUUUGGUUGGAGGGUCCAGAUAUAUACAAUGACAUGUUUCAGUUAGGAUGAAAUAGGAGGGGUGUAGAGGGAAAAACAGCAAAAUUUCUAUUGCUGUUUUUAAAGAAAACUGCCUCCUGGAGAGGGUUGAUUCUACUAAAUGGGGUACUUCAGUAAGAUGAGCACUAGAAAGAGAUUGGCCAUGAGAGUUUGAGGGUAAAGCUACAAAAAGCUGAACUGCAAUAGUUCACAGAAGAAAAUACUUUGAGAUUCUUAGUUUUAUCCCCUUUGGGGGGAAGUAGGUGAAGAUGAGGAAUAGAAAGGGAGAAGGGAGGAGUCAGUGAGAAAAAGAGGGGCUGGUGUUGGGCCAUGAAAGGCCACAAGAUGCUCACUAUGUCAUUUUGAAAUUGUUUGGAUUCUUAUGACUGAAACCCCUCUUUCUCUGAUCUUCCUUCCCGUCAUGCUGUCUGCAGUAAGCGUGACUCUUCUCAGGAGUGCUGUGUGCAGUGGAGUAGUUUAUUGUUAUCUGUAUGUGUGUGACUACCAAAGAAGGAGCUAAGUUUCAUAUGAUGGGUCCCAGAGAGAGCACCUGGAGAGGAGGAGACUGAGGAGACCUGAGAACCCAAGGGUCAGAGGUGCUCAUAGAAAUCUUAGAGGACCACAGGCCAUGGAAUUUUACCUGGCUCUUGGUGGGGGAAAAAGCCACAGCUGACAUCUAGUUUCCACAAACAAAAAGGGAGACAACCCACAUAAUUGCGGUGUGUAUGUUUGGAGGCGGUUAGGUAGCUAAAGGGAAAUUUUAAUCCAAAUUUUUAGAAGAAAUGGUGUUUUAGGAUUGGUUGUAAGAUAGCAAUUGGGCAUUAUCGGGCAAGGCCAGUAUGCACAAGGAGACAUGACACACAGACACACACCCAUGAUGUAUAAAUGGCAAUAUUUUGGCUACAGCUGAACAGUCACUAUUUUAACAUCCCUUCUUCUUCCAAUUUUCAAUUCUUCUUCAAAUUACUAAUGGUUCAAUAAAAACAAAGCCCAGACUUUUGGUUUGCAAACUUGUUUUGAACUACAGAAUCUUAUCUUCAAAUAAAAUUUUAUUGCAACAUAUAAAACAGAAAAAAAAAAUCAGUUGCCCUGGUUAAGAGGAUGGAAGUCUUUUUCUUUUGUGCCGCCCACACGCCCAUCUCUUAGAAUUCUUGGGGCUCCAUGGGGCACAGCCUGAAAACCAAAACCCUAGAACAAGAGAAAGGAGACCGUCUCAUUGGUCUCCCUUCUUGAUUAAAUUACACUGACCUUGCCAGAAGAAAUUCCAUUUAGGAGUUCAUGCCGGAAAGUGACAAAUAUCAAUUCUAUCUAAUAUUGGCAAGGGAACAGGGAAGUGGGCACUCUCAACCACUGUUGCUGAGAGUAUAGGUUAGUGCAGUCAUUUUAAGGACAAUUCAUCAAAAUUUUAAAUAUAUAAUGUGUUCCAUCAGUUCCACUUCUAGAAAUUUUUCCUACGGAAAUGCUCAUAUAUCUGCACAAAAGUGUAAGUACAAGGAUGCUCAUUAUUCUUAAGACUAUAAAAUCAGAAACAACUUAAAUAGGGGAAUAGUUAAGUAUGUUACUUACCUUCAUAGAGGUAACAUAUCUUCAUAUAUGAAGACUUGUCUUCAUCCUGUAGAUUGUGGGAAUCCACUGAAGGUUUUUAAGCAAAGAAGAAUAUUAUUGUCCUGAAAAUGAAAGAGGUGUAUAGAUAGAUAAGUAGAUAGAUUUGGAAGGGUGUCCCUGAUACCCUGUAAAGUGAAAAUGCAAAUUACAAAGAACAUAGUUAAGGGAGUUCCCAUUGUGGCACAGCAGAAAUGAAUCUGACUAGUAUCCAUGAGGAUGCGGGUUUGAUCCCUGGCCUCGCUCACUGGGUCAGGAUCCAGUGUUGCCAUGAGCUGUGGUGUGGGUUGCAGACACGGCUCAGAUCUGGUGUUGCUGCAGCUGUGGCUGUGGCCAGCAGCUGCAGCUCUGAUUCAGCCCCUAUCCUGGGAACUUCCAUAUGCCAUGGGUGUGGCCCUAAAAAGCAAAAAACAAAACAAAACAAAACAAGAACAUAGUUAACAUGCUACAUAUAUAUUUUUAAAGUAAGCAGAUUAAUGGCCCCUACAUUCUAUAAAAGCUCUGUAAGUGCUUCUGAUUAUAAAGACAAAGCAAACACACAAACAAAAACUCAAGAAAUAAAUGGUUAGUCACAGGCAUUCGGGUUUACUUCUUGAGAAGGGUAAUGGAGGUGAGGGGGUAUAUAUAAAUACGUACACACACACACACGCAUAUAUAUAGUAUAAACGUUUGUGUUAUUUGAAUUGUUUACAAAAGACAUGCAUUAAUUUUUAAUUAAAAAUGCAAUGAAGACAUUGAUAAAAACAGCAACAUAAAAUAAUUUGCUUCUUUUAAGACCUGGUACAUUUCUUCUUUUCUUUUUUGUCUUUUUAGGGCUGCACCUCCAGCAUAUGGAAGUUCCCAGGCUAGGGGAACUGGAAUUGGAGCUGGAGCUGCCAGCCUACACCACAGCUGCAGCAAUGCCAGAUCCAAGCCGCAUCUGUGACCUAGGCUGGAGCUCAAGGCAACCUGGGAUCCUCAGCCCACUGAGCAAGGCAAGGGAUUAAACCCGAGUCCUCGUGGAUACUAGUCGGGUUCAUUACUGCUGAUCCAUGAUGAGAACUCCCAUUUCUUCUUUUCUAUCAAAAAAAUUCAAAUAAUGUACUUUCCUUCUUACCCUGGCUACCAGCAAAUCCAGAUUAAACUUUGCAGCAUGAACCCAGCAAUGACACUGACCUUUAAACCUAGAAUAUUUACAUUUCCUUUUUGCUUUGGUCCUGUUUUUCUACUUCCAGUUAACUUUUCCCCAAAGCUUCCCGGGCUCAUUUUUCAAAAGAGAUAGGAAUAGAUUACACAGAAAGAGACAAACUCUGAAUCCUUUACUCUGAGCAGCUCACAUUUCCUUGUUAGAAACUCUACAGGGCUGAGGAGGGAAGGAUUUGAUUUACUAUUUAUACUUUAUACUCUGAUUAUUCUCAAGUGGAAUCUGAGGACAAGAAUCGGUACUCCUGCAGCUGCAUAAAACACUCGGCUCUACUUUGGAGUUUCACUUUGUCUCUGCUCCAAAUUUAAGAGCUGCAAGGAUAGUCAGGAGGCUCUUGUGGCAAGACUUGUCUUCAUCCUGUAGAUGGUGGGAAACCACUGAGGGUUUUCAAGCAAAGAACCUGGAUUUUCACCUUGUU
rnacentral:lncRNA from 1 species